rnacentral:rRNA from 1 species
UACAGGGGGUGCAAGCGUUACUCGGAAUUACUGGGCGUAAAGAGCGUGUAGGCGGCUUAGCAAGUUUGGUGUGAAAUCCCUGGGCUCAAUCCAGGAAGUGCAUUGAAUACUGCUGAGCUAGAGUAUAGGAGAGGUGAGCGGAAUUCCCGGUGUAGAGGUGAAAUUCGUAGAUAUCGGGAGGAACAACAGAAGCGAAGGCGGCUCACUGGACUAUUACUGACGCUAAGGCGCGAAAGCGUGGGGAGCAAACAGG